GGAGAGAUGGUCGAGUGGUUGAAGGCAUAGCAUUGGAACUGCUAUGUAGGCUUUUGUUUGCCGAGGGUUCAAAUCCCUCUCUUUCCG